UGCGCCUUGCCAGCCCGCUCAGAAACUCAAAUGAAUUGACGGGGGCCCGCACAAGCGGAGGAGCAUGUGGUUUAAUUCGAUGAUACGCGAGGAACCUUACCUGGGCUCGAACGUAAGAUGACUGUAGGUGAAAGCUUACAUCUCUUCGGAGCAUUUUACGAGGUGCUGCAUGGUUGUCGUCAGCUCGUGCCGUGAGGUGUCGGGUUAAGUCCCAUAACGAGCGCAACCCCUACCUUUAGUUGCCAUCAGGUUAAGCUGGGGACUCUAAAGGAACUGCCUACGCAAGUAGUGAGGAAGGCGGGGAUGACGUCAAAUCAGCACGGCCCUUACGUCCAGGGCUACACACGUGCUACAAUGGUCGGUACAAAGGGUUGCCAAGCCGCGAGGUGGAGCUAAUCCCAUAAAACCGAUCGUAGUCCGGAUCGCAGUCUGCAACUCGACUGCGUGAAGUCGGAAUCGCUAGUAAUCGUGAAUCAGAAUGUCACGGUGAAUACGUUCCCGGGCCUU
rnacentral:rRNA from 1 species